rnacentral:lncRNA from 1 species
UGGAUACUUAAAUAUUAGAAGAGCAUUAAAGAUUUUUUAAUGAUUUAAGCUUAGAGAUUUUGAAUUCCAUUUUUCCAAUUUCAGGUCGGUUUUUGUUUAUUGUGAAGUUGAUUAUAUUAUCCUCUUAUACUGCAGGGAUGCCCCACUAUAUUUGGAAUGGGCACCUGGUAAUAUUCUCAGUGAAACUUCAGCUGUUGGUGAUAAUGAAGUUGUUGGUGGACAUGAUGUCAAGAGAGCUUUGCUAGAGCAACAAGUCGAAGAGACUACUGAUGCAGAUGUUGACCCUGAUAGAAUUGAGGUUAUUUUCUGGACUUAGUUUUGUUUAGCCUUAACCUUAGCUUUCCUUGUAAAACAUGGAAAUUUCACGUAAAAUUUCUUAUAUGCCUACUGGAAUUGUUUCAUGUAUCUUCUGCUGGAAGCUUACUCAAAAUAAUGACUUGCCUAUUGUGAUUUCUGUCGAAUUGCUUUAAACUGGUAUGCUGAUACUAUGCUUCUAAUGAAAAAGGGAAAAAAAAUAUGUCUAAGCCGACUUUAUUAUUUUCCCAAACUGUUGUAUGAGGUGGUGUCCCGUGCUUCAUUUAGUUGCUUUAGAGUCCCGAAAAUGUACUAAUUCAGGUGUUAAAUUGUUGUGAUAUGUUUUGUGAUGCAGUCACGCUCUUUGUAUGUUAAGAACCUGAACUUCAGAUCAUCUGAUGAGAAUUUGAAAACGCAUUUCGCGGAGCACAUGAAGGGAGGGAAUAUACUAAGUGUCAGGGUAUUCUUUCUUGUCUCUAUCUGCUUCAGACCACAACUACUAAUUGCCUUCUCUAUAUGGUUGCUUUUACGAGUUUCAUUCUAUAUGCUACUGUAGGUGAAGAAGCAUAUGAAGAACGGAAAAAAUGUUUCCAUGGGGUUUGGUUUCAUAGAGUUUGAUUCUAUUGAUACAGCAGUGACAGUUUGCAGGGACCUGCAGGUAUUAUUCUAGGCUGCUAAUAGGAGAAAGUUUAUGUCCAUUGUCUUUUACUAUGAAACGAGUGCCUUACCCUUGUGAUUAUUGCUUAGGGAACUGUAUUGGAUGGGCAUGCCCUCAUAUUACAACUCUGUCGUGCUAAAAAGGAUGCAGUAUUGCCUAAAAAAAUUGAAAAUGACAAGAGUUCUACAAAGUUGAUUGUAAGGAAUGUAGCUUUUGAGGCCACAGAAAAGGAUCUCAGACAGCUAUUCAGUCCAUUCGGACAGGUAUAAACUCCUUUCCCUCUCGUCGUUAAUUGUUUUGAAUUAUAAGGUUUUGAGCUGUGCUUGUAUUGUUGCAGAUAAAGAGAUUAAGGUUGCCAAUGAGGAUUGGGAAACAUAGGGGUUUUGCAUUUAUAGAGUAUAUGACGAAACAGGAAGCUCGGAAUGCACUUGAAGCUCUUUCCAACACCCAUCUCUACGGUCGUCACUUGGUACGUUUUUUAAAGUGAAGACAAAAAAUGAAAUGUUUUGCGAAUAAGUUGAGUUGAAUACUUACUGUUGCUUGGUUUACAGGUUCUGGAGAGAGCCAAGGAAGGUGAAACCUUAGAGGAAUUACGGGCUAGAACGGCUGCUCAGUUCACAGACUCCACUAACUUAUCCAAAAAAAGAAAGCAGUUGCCCGUAUUUGAUGAAGGAAAUAACGAGUUUGAAAGAAUGGUAGAUUAGAAUUUUGGGUUGUCUUUGUUGUCAACUAUUUGUAUUACAGAAAUAUUUUACAAAUUUUGAAUUGUAAAAAAAAGGACUUAUGAAAACGACAUCAACUCGAUCUAACGAGCGACUACUAACUAGUUUUAUCUCUAUUUCCGCUCAUUAUCGUUUGAGAAUUUCUUUAUGAUCCGUUAUUGUCUUUUCGAAUGUAUAAUUUCAUUCUUUUUCUUUACUUGGCCACAAUAAAUGUACUUAUACAUGAAGUAGACUAAUAAUCAUAUGUCAGAGACUAGUAUGCACAUAAUAGAUUAUGAAGAACUCUAUCCUCAUUAUAAAUCUAAAUAGAUUUUGUAUAAGCUACAAUAACUAAAACUCUGAAAAUCAUAAAUAAAUAAAUAAUAUAUUUGAUUGAAAUUUAGAUAAUACCUUUAAUUUGUUUUAAAAGAACUCUAAAAAUAUAAUAUUUACUUUUAUAUAUAUAUAUAUAUAUAUAUAUAUAUAUAUAUANNNNNNNNNNNNNNNNNNNNNNNNNNNNNNNNNNNNNNNNNNNNNNNNNNNNNNNNNNNNNNNNNNNNNNNNNNNNNNNNNNNNNNNNNNNNNNNNNNNNCGGUAUUGAUGAAAUGGAGAACACGAGUGAAUCUUGAAAGAUCACGAUGCCACGUAUGUCGAGUGAUAUCACAACUAAAUUGGUUGUUAUUUUUUAUGGGAUGAAGACUUGGAUUGUAAAUAUGGGUGUGUUUUUGCUUUUUCUUAAUACCAUUUAGUGGAUACUUAAAUAUUAGAAGAGCAUUAAAGAUUUUUUAAUGAUUUAAGCUUAGAGAUUUUGAAUUCCAUUUUUCCAAUUUCAGGUCGGUUUUUGUUUAUUGUGAAGUUGAUUAUAUUAUCCUCUUAUACUGCAGGGAUGCCCCACUAUAUUUGGAAUGGGCACCUGGUAAUAUUCUCAGUGAAACUUCAGCUGUUGGUGAUAAUGAAGUUGUUGGUGGACAUGAUGUCAAGAGAGCUUUGCUAGAGCAACAAGUCGAAG